rnacentral:rRNA from 1 species
AGCGAACGCUGGCGGCAGGCCUAACACAUGCAAGUCGAACGGAUCCUUCGGGAUUAGUGGCGGACGGGUGAGUAACACGUGGGAACGUGCCCUUUGGUUCGGAACAACUCAGGGAAACUUGAGCUAAUACCGGAUGUGCCCUUCGGGGGAAAGAUUUAUCGCCAUUGGAGCGGCCCGCGUCUGAUUAGCUAGUUGGUGAGGUAACGGCCCACCAAGGCAACGAUCAGUAGCUGGUCUGAGAGGAUGAUCAGCCACACUGGGACUGAGACACGGCCCAGACUCCUACGGGAGGCAGCAGUGGGGAAUCUUGCGCAAUGGGCGAAAGCCUGACGCAGCCAUGCCGCGUGAAUGAUGAAGGUCUUAGGAUUGUAAAAUUCUUUCAGCGGGGACGAUAAUGACGGUACCCGCAGAAGAAGCUCCGGCUAACUUCGUG